rnacentral:rRNA from 1 species
UACGUAGGCAGCAAGCGUUGUUCGGAGUUACUGGGCGUAAAGGGUGCGUAGGCGGCCCUGUAAGUUUGGUGUGAAAUCUCCCGGCUCAACUGGGAGGGUGCGCCGAAUACUGAAUGACUAGAGUGCGGGAGAGGAAAGUGGAAUUCCUGGUGUAGCGGUGAAAUGCGUAGAUAUCAGGAGGAACACCGGUGGUGUAGACGGCUUUCUGGACCGUAACUGACGCUGAGACACGAAAGCGUGGGUAGCAAACAGG